AACAACAUUAUAAAAUAUUUCUUACAUAAGCAACUUAUACAUUACUUACAUUACGAUUAUAAUUGUACACAACAUUAUCAUGGAAUAAUAAUUAUUAAGCUAAAUACCAAUUUUGACUAAAAAAUCUUCUGUUAUUAAGGAUAAUAAAAGAAUAUAGUACAAUAAAUAGUUAUAGCACGAUAAGAUAAUAAGUAUUUACUUACAAUUUUGGGACAACAAAACAUUUUUGAACUUAGGUAAAGACAUGUUCAAAAUAUCUAAAUCAAUAUCCAAGUUAUUAUAUAAACGACACAUUCUAAAGAUAGGCGCAUUAUUGGAUACAUUGUUAUUAGGAACCAUAGGCAAGGCAAACAAUUCUCGAUUCCGCGUUCUCUUAUUGUAGGCUCUAAUGGAGACAUAAUCCAUGAGGUUACUGUCGAGACCACCA